rnacentral:rRNA from 1 species
AUUGAACGCUGGCGGCAGGCUUAACACAUGCAAGUCGAGCGGAGAUGAGGUGCUUGCACCUUAUCUUAGCGGCGGACGGGUGGGUAAUGCUUAGGAGUCUGCCUAUUAGUGGGGGACAACAUUCCGAAAGGAAUGCUAAUACCGCAUACGUCCUACGGGAGAAAGCAGGGGAUCUUCGGACCUUGCGCUAAUAGAUGAGCCUAAGUCGGAUUAGCUAGUUGGUGGGGUAAAGGCCUACCAAGGCGACGAUCUGUAGCGGGUCUGAGAGGAUGAGCCGCCACACUGGGACUGAGACACGGCCCAGACUCCUACGGGAGGCAGCAGUGGGGAAUAGUGGACAAUGGGGGGAACCCUGAUCCAGCCAUGCCGCGUGUGUGAAGAAGGCCUUAUGGUUGUAAAGCACUUUAAGCGAGGAGGAGGCUACUGAGACUAAUACUCUUGGAUAGUGGACGUUACUCGCAGAAUAAGCACCGGCUAACUCUGUGCCAGCCGCCGCGGUAACAC